rnacentral:lncRNA from 1 species
AACAAUGGUGGUGGUGGUGGUGAUGUCGAUAACCAUCCUGAGUUCCAGCUACAGCUGCAGAGGUUCGAUUCUGAUGAAGGCCAACGCCACGUUGGGUAGCGUGAUGACGACCGAGUUGAUCAUCAAGCACGAUAUAACUCGGUAUCUCAUAUUCAAGGGUGCCACCGCAGUGACAGGUGCGACUGCGGACCCAAACAUCGUGACAUGUGGCAAUGGCGCCGGAAACACGUUUUCCGGCUGCGGUGGUAAUGCUAAUAAUACACAACAGUGCAAUGCAUACCAAGGACCUAACGCUUGCUUAUAAUCCCUUCAGUUCCAUAUUAAUAUGAUCACUAUGACUCUGCGCAGUUUCUAUGUCAUCGUGUAAUCCCCUGUUUUUUAUGAUCCUCUGUUCUUCUUUCUAUUUCUCUUUGAAGUGGAGUUUGUUUGUUUGAUGCUUUCAUUAACAAUGUAUUUGGUGCUUUGUUGUUUGUUUUUGUGAAAUAAGAACUAAAUCAAAUCACUUUUCUUCUUCUCUCUCUUGUUCAAUCCAUUGAUCCUCUAAGUAUUUUCGUAAUAAAGAUUAAAUUGUUACCGUCUACAAACUUAUAAUCUUUAUUGUUAUAUACGUAUGGUUAAGUUUUGAGUUUGAUUUCGAUUUGAUCUCUAAUUUUCAAAAUGUUGUAUUUUAAUAUUGAUAUUUGAAUUUUAUUUUAAUUUGGUCCAUAGAAUAUUUACAUUUGUCAUCUCAACUUUUCACUUAUUAAUAAUGUAUGUUAAUAAAUUUAGAAUAAUUAAAAGAAAUAUAAUGAACUAGAAUUCACUUUUUUCCUUCCUUUUAAAAUUAAUUUAGAAUUUUACGUCUUAAUUAUUUUAAAUUAAUUAGAAAACAUUAACGUCCAUCAUUCUAAAUGAGUAUUUAUUAAAAAAAAGAAAUAAAAAUAUAAAAUAUUAAAUUCUGAAAACCAAAUUGAAACAAAGUUCAAAUCUUAAAAUUUAAAACGUAACAUUUCACUCAAUAGAAACUAAACUUAAAAUCUAUAUAUAAAAUACUUAUUAUCUGACUGAACACCAAAUAUAAAUUAAAAGUCAAUUUUAAAUUUUUAAGAAUUUGAAAAUGAAAUAGAUUCAAACGUAAAAAUUUUAAUUUUACAAAUAUUUUAUUUUAGAAAAAAAUAUCAUUUUACAAGUAUGAAUUUUUCCAAUUCUAUCUGUAUAAACUUUAAAUUAAUAAAAUUUAUAAUCCAUUUUAAUAGUAAUUUUAUUAACCCAUUAUUUGAAAAGUAUGCACAGGAGCUAUAAUUGAAUGCAAUAUGGCAACUUUUAAAUGUAAUAUAAUCAUGAUAAAAGAUUUAGAUUAUUCACUUAUAACACUUUAGAAAUUUAAUUAAAAAGUUUAAUAUUUAAAUUAAUGAUUGGUUGUAUUAAUUGAAAACUUUAACUUUAUUUUUAUUACAUCAAAUUGCACUAAUAAAGUAGUGAAAGUUAGGAAAAGCAAAAACUAAAAAGCAAGAGGAAGUCCCCACAUUCCAUGCGACAUGUCGUAUUGAAAUAUGCUUUUAUCUCUUUUAAAAGUUGUUGUGUCGUUCGUCUCGUGGGAAUAGAAAACUAUUAGGAAUAUUUUGGAUAAAAAUCAUUAUAAUUUGGUCCAAAUCUUUUCUAAUCCACAAAAGCAACUUUAGGUUUUGUACUAAUACGAGCCAACCUUUACUAAUUUCUUUUACUAUUUGUUACGAUAGAUUUGGAUUAGAGGGAAAAUUAUCAGAUUAAGUAUUAAAACAUGGGAGUCUAGGUCGAUGUGUUCAAACUAACCUAUUAGGCCUCUUGUUCUUGGCCAAGGACGAUGGAGGCAUGCUCUGGCCUAUUUAGGUCAAAGUUAGAUCAAGAGGAAGUCUCUUCAUUUAAUGAAUGUGGGAUCAUUUGAUUGAGAAUUAACCUAAUAUGACUCGAAAUUCCUCAUAUAUAUAUGAACAACUUAGAUCAGAAUUUCACUAUAAAUACAUUGUUGUGAUGAUUUUAAGAGAAGUAAGUUCAUUUUCAUCCCUAAAAUUCUUGUUACAACCAAAAGCUACUUUUUGACUAAGGUAUUGGAGACGUGAUAAUUUUGUCCAUCAACACUCCCGAUCUUAAACUUAUAAUUACAUAGAACAUAUUGAUAAGGUAUUAAUGUCGGUCAAUAUGGUUUUACAUUGUAAAGAAAUCUAAAAUCAACAAAAUGUUUUGAUUUUUCUCUCGACGAAGAUAUUAGAUACUUAAAAAAAUUAUAUCUAUAAAUUUCAACCCUAAAUUACC